CAUAAACUACUGGCCAGACCCUGUUCAGAAUUCUUCUAUUUGCUUAGCUCCAUUGUGACUCCAGCAAAGAGUUAAGCUAAAAAAAAAAAAAAAAAAAAAAUUCCUUAACUCAUGUACCUUCAGUGUUCUGUGGGAACAAUGGAAUAGAAAAGCAGCACAUUAUAGGCCUCACCCAAAGAAGGGGCUCAGCUUGAUACCCAGAGGUGAUGUUUGCUUAGCUCAAAAUGACUUUUUUCUCUUGGCCACAACACCCAAUGGAAUGUGUCUCCGGCAGCCAAAAUUGAACAUAGUUGAUUGAACAAGGGACUUGGCUGCCGAUGUCAUCCAAGAAGGGUCUCUUCUACUUCUGUCUUUAUCAGAGUCUUCAUUUCCUGAACAGUCAAGGCCAGG
rnacentral:lncRNA from 12 species